CGCAGCUCGUUUUGAAAUGGACAGAGUGGGCUAUAUACAUUUAUUUCUUCAUCAAUACUUUUUCAUGUCAUUAAUUUGGGGGGAAAUUUGUUGUUUUGUUGGCAUGGUAUUAUCAAGGUCCCCUAGUGAUUACAAUUGAGAAGUUAGAAAUUGUGUAUCAUUGUUGUGAUUUGAGCCCAAUUUUCCAGAAAUGAGCGACCCCAAGUAUGCUUAUCCCUACCAAGGUCCGCCAGUGAUGGCACCACCUCAAUAUGCUGCUCCACCACCCAGAAGACAGAGUGCUGGAUUCCUUGAGGGAUGUAUUGCAGCUCUAUGUUUUUGCUGCCUCUUAGAUGAAUGUGACUGUGACUGUGACCCUUCAAUCUUAUGUAUUUGCUGUGACCCUUCAAUUUGCUGCUAAUUUGAAAGUUGUUGCAGCUACAAAGAUACUAUAAAUACGUUUAUUGUUUGUUUUUA